rnacentral:rRNA from 1 species
CCUACGGGAGGCAGCAGUGAGGAAUAUUGGUCAAUGGGCGGAAGCCUGAACCAGCGAAGUAGCGUGCGGGAUGAAGGCCCUACGGGUCGUAAACCGCUUUUGCACGGGGAUAACACUCUCCACUUGUGGAGGUCUGCAGGUACCGUGCGAAGAAGGGCCGGCCAAUUCCGUGCCAGCAGCCGCGGUAAUACGGAAGGUCGGGGCGUUAUCCGGAUGUGUUGGGUUUAAAGGGAGCGUAGGCCGGAUGUCAAGCGUGCUGGGAAAUGUACGGGCUAAACCCGGGCCUCGCAGCGCGAACUGGCGGGCUUGAGGGCGCGGAAAGUAGGCGGAAUUCGUCGUGUAGCGGUGAAAUGCUUAGAUAUGACGAAGAACCCCGAUGGCGAAGGCAGCUUGCUGCAGCGGAACUGACGCUGAUGCUCGAAAGCGCGGGUAUCGAACAGGAUUAGAUACCCUGGUAGUC